rnacentral:rRNA from 1 species
UCAGAUCGCAGUCUGCAACCCGACUGCGUGAAGUCGGAAUCGCUAGUAAUCGCGGAUCAGCAUGCCGCGGUGAAUACGUUCCCGGGCCUUGUACACACCGCCCGUCACACCAUGAGAGUCGGGAACACCCGAAGUCCGUAGCCUAACCGCAAGGAGGGCGCGGCCGAAGGUGGGUUCGAUAAUUGGGGUGAAGUCGUAACAAGGUAAC